ensembl:snRNA U6 U6 spliceosomal RNA
GUGCUUGCUUCAGCACACAGACUAAAACCGGAAUGACAGAGAUUAGCAUGGCCCCUGCGCAAGGAUCACAUGCAAAUUCGUGAAGCGUUCCAUAUUUAA